rnacentral:rRNA from 1 species
AUUGAACGCUGGCGGCAGGCCUAACACAUGCAAGUCGAGCGGAUGAAGGGAGCUUGCUCCUGGAUUCAGCGGCGGACGGGUGAGUAAUGCCUAGGAAUCUGCCUGGUAGUGGGGGAUAACGUCCGGAAACGGGCGCUAAUACCGCAUACGUCCCGAGGGAGAAAGUGGGGGAUCUUCGGACCUCACGCUAUCAGAUGAGCCUAGGUCGGAUUAGCUAGUUGGUGGGGUAAAGGCCUACCAAGGCGACGAUCCGUAACUGGUCUGAGAGGAUGAUCAGUCACACUGGAACUGAGACACGGUCCAGACUCCUACGGGAGGCAGCAGUGGGGAAUAUUGGACAAUGGGCGAAAGCCUGAUCCAGCCAUGCCGCGUGCGUGAAGAAGGUCUUCGGAUUGUAAAGCACUUUAAGUUGGGAGGAAGGGCAGUAAGUUAAUACCUUGCUGUUUUGACGUUACCAACAGAAUAAGCACCGGCUAACUUCGUG